GAUGAAGAACGUAGCGAAAUGCGAUACUUGGUGUGAAUUGCAGAAUCCCGUGAACCAUCGAGUCUUUGAACGCACGUUGCGCCCGAAGCCAUUAGGCCGAGGGCACGCCUGCCUGGGCGUCACACGUCGUUGCCCCCCCAUCUACUCCUUCGGGAUUGCGGGGGGCGGAUGAUGGCCUCCCGUGCGCCUCGCCGCGCGGUUGGCAUAAAUGCCAAGUCCUCGGCGACGCACGCCACGACAAUCGGUGGUUGCGAAACCUCGGUUGCCCGUCGUGUGCGGUCGUCGCGCAUCGAGGGCUCGAAAAAAUUGCCGGGUUCCGGCUCGGCUUUCAACGCGACCCCAGGUCAGGCGGGGUUACCCGCUGAAUUUAAGCAUAUCAAUAAGCGGAGA
rnacentral:misc_RNA from 1 species